AGGACGAACGCUGGCGGCGUGCUUAACACAUGCAAGUCGAGCGGAAAGGCCCUUCGGGGUACUCGAGCGGCGAACGGGUGAGUAACACGUGGGCAAUCUGCCCCUCGCUCUGGGAUAACUCCGGGAAACCGGGGCUAAUACCGGAUACGACCACUUUAGGCAUCUUCGGUGGUGGAAAGUUUUUCGGCGAGGGAUGAGCCCGCGGCCUAUCAGCUUGUUGGUGGGGUAAUGGCCUACCAAGGCAGUGACGGGUAG
rnacentral:rRNA from 1 species